AGAAGAUGGGACAACUACCAGCUGUUGUCAUCCUAAUACUUGGCAUUGGGGCAUUUGCUCACAGCGCCCGAGCUCAAACUCUGCCGAGAUGCCGGUCGCUGUACAUACACAACGGCAAGCCGCUGCCGGAGACGGAGGCCGGGAAAUACGGCCUGGUGGAGUGUAACCAUGGCUUUACAUUCGCUGAUGGAGCCAUCGCCAAACACAUGUUCUGUGUUCGUCUCCCGGGAAGAAGUGUCGCCAUUUGGGACGGCGUGACGCCUGAUUGUGUUAACAGCACGCUGCCCUUCAGCCCCCUACCUAAGAACCCAAAGACAUGCAAAGACGUGCAACAAGAGGGAUCCACAGUUAUUGAUCCGGACGGAGAUGGUCGUAUCCAGCCCUUCACAGUAAACUGCAUUCUUAUUAACCAGGAAAUGUGGACCGAA